GGAGGCAUAGUGCAAAUGGUAGAGCACCUGCCUAACAAGUAUGAAGCCCUGAGUUCAAACCCCAGUACCACCA
rnacentral:tRNA from 1 species